CAAAUUUACACCAAUUUUAUAAACUCUUUUUCAAAAAGUAGAAGAGGAUUGAACAUGUCUGACUAAUGCCCUGAUAUCAAAACCAGAAGAAGACAUCUAAAGACAACUUCAGACCAGAUUUAUAUCUCUCAUAGCUAUAGCUGCAUAGGUAGUGCUGAUGGUUGUACAAAUCUUUAAUUAUAAUUAAAACUACUGAGUUUUACACUUUAAAAUGGUAAAUUUUAUUAAAUAUAAAAUAUAUCUUAAAUUCAUCAUAAAAAUAAUGCUGCAGUGAAUAUCCUUCCCCAUGCCUCCAAGUUUGCAAAUUCUACAAAUGGUCUAUGGACCAACAACUGAAAAUUUCGGCAUGUAGUUUUUCAAUUUUUCUAAAAUGUGAAAAUUGCUCUACAAAGUAGCUAUGGCAUUUGUACUUCCUCCAGUGGUGUGAGAAAGUUCCAGUUUCUUUGAUCUUUGCCAAUAUUUAAAUAAUCAGUUUUUAAAUUUUAUUUUCAGUUUUAAUUUUUACUUAUUUGUUGUGAAAUGGUACUUUACUGGUUUGCAUUUCUGUGACUUUGAGGAAGAUUAAGCAUCUUGUAAUCUGUAUUGACCAUUCACUUUUCCUCUUCUGUGAAUUUUCUAUUCAUAUCCUUUGUCCACUGGCUGUCAAGCUGUUGGUUUGCAGAGCUACCUUUAAAUGCUGAUAACAUAGGAACCAGAGUCUUCCCUCCCCGGGAGUGACAGUGAGCAUUACCAGCCAAUUGGGCAUAUCAGUACUUUCUAGGCAAGAACCAUGUCCAUUCCAAAAUGGAAUCUUUGAAAUAUAUUGUUGUCAUGACGAGCAACAACAUCUCAAAGGAUUCCUUUGUCUAAGAGGUAAAACACUGGAGUUUCUCUUCACUACCUGCCUGCUAUCAAUUGCAAAGAAGCAUUAGUAGCAGAAGCUUUAAGACACCUCUGUCAGCAUGUCCUUCAGGAUUAUUAAAGCAAGUAAGAAUUUAGGCUAUGUUGAAGACAAAGGUAAGUGUGUAUAUACGUGUGUGGGUGAGAGAGAGAAACUCGU
rnacentral:lncRNA from 1 species